GGGAGUAGAUAAGUGCUGGUGUGCUUACCAGUCUUCAAAACUGUGUUGUGGUGCUAAUAACAUCAUGGGUGGGUUCGAUUCCCACAUGCUCCCGCCA
rnacentral:tRNA from 1 species